UACGUAGGGGGCAAGCGUUGUCCGGAUUUAUUGGGCGUAAAGAGCUCGUAGGCGGUUUGUUGCGUCGGCUGUGAAAUCCCGAGGCUCAACCUCGGGUCUGCAGUCGAUACGAGCAAACUAGAGUGUUGCAGGGGAGACUGGAAUUCCUGGUGUAGCGGUGAAAUGCUUAGAUAUGACAUAGAACACCAAUUGCGAAGGCAGCUCACUACUCAAUCAUUGACUCUGAGGCACGAAAGCGUGGGGAUCAAACAGG
rnacentral:rRNA from 1 species